UAAAAUAUCUUAGAUUUUUUUUUUCUGGAUAAAAUACAGAUAUAACAACAAUUCUGCUCAUGCAGAAGAUGGCGCUAGUAAACUAUUCUUCACUUGUGCUUCCUGAGGUAAAAGUGGCUUCGCCCAAACUUCACGAUCAACUAUUUAUGAAAUGACCUUUAAUACUUAAACAAACCACCAAACAACGAAUCCAUCUCCUAACAGAUAAAUCAACAAAAACGAGAAAUGAUCGAAGGAAAAUGCGCCAAACAAUCACAAGGGAAAAUACAUAGGUCAAUCUGUAUCUACCUAACAAACGCCAUCUGCAGUUUACUGCAGCUAUUGCAACCAUAACAAGCUGCUUCCAGGACGGCAUAGCGUAGAAAUCCACCCGAGAAAUCCCCAUGAUCAGGAGGAAGUCGUCGUUUGAGAGAUAGUCCUGCAUAGAUGAUAGAGGGUCAACUUUUACAGUCUGUUUGGCUAAUGAAUCACUUUAAUGGCCAUCUUCAAAGCUAAAGGUCUUUUCUGCAAUGGAAAGAGUGAGAGUAAGAGGAACUCACCUGCCACCGGAGCAAUCGAGAAGGACGCAGCCAGAUCAAGAAACAUGACAUUAUGGGAUAUUGGAAGCCAGUCUGAAGCCAUAGGAUGUACCUUUUUGAUUUAUUUUCAGUGUUAAAAUGGCAUUGUGCCAUCAGAGACCCAAAUGCAUAGCUCAAAUUCAUAAAAGAACACGGCAAAGUACAGUUGUAAUUUAUUUAUAUUUUAGACAUUUACAGAGCCUUUAUAUACAAACACACAUAUUCUAUAUAUUCUAUAUCCUAUAUAACCUAAGUUGAAUGCUAUGAACAUUGAAGGCAUGUACAAUGCACAUGUUCAGCUUACAAGUCUAUUAUCUUAAUAAUGUGGAAAGCCAGCUUUCAGUGUUCAGUGCUCAUGUUUCAUAAUGGAGAAUAUGUGAAAUGCAGUAUAGAGGCAUUGGAUAGAGAUAUCAUUAGUUUUCAUAGGGAUUUGCAUCUGGACAGACAUUGAAACAUACAAUAUUAAGGUACUGAGAGUUUCUAAAAUGUAAAUGCUUUUACAAAUGCACAACUGUAGAGACAGAAAUGUUUACGAGGCCGUUGUGAAUU